UCUACAGUUUCCCCACAGCAACUGCUGUAGAACGCAGUCCUCCCAGGAAAACAGCGGCGUGUCCAUCAGAUGGCUGUGUCCACUUGAAGGCUCCACUACGGUCAGGCCUGUGGGCUGUUGGUGUUAACUCAGAGGAGGAGUGGAAGGGACGGCUAGAGAAUCUUCACCUGAGAUUCCAGACACAUCUCCCAACUAUUUGGGCCCAAGAGAUGGAUCACCGGCCAAGAGCACCGGGUGCCGAUACAGAGGGCCCGAGGUCAGUUCCCAGCAUCCACAUGGAGGUUCACAACGAUCUGUAACUCCAAUUCUUGGCUCGCCUUUGCACAUACCUACAUGCAGACACGCGCAUCCAUAAAUAAGAAAAUACGUCUUUAAAAAGAAGAAGCACGGGGAGAAUCAGAAUCAACAGAAGGAUUGAGUACUGUUGUGAGAUAAUAAGUCAGUCUACUGAGGAGGAAUGGAGCCGCACUGUUCACGACAGCACGGAUGGAACUGGAGUUCAUUAUGUUAAGUGAAAUAAACCAGACCCAGAAAAAC
rnacentral:lncRNA from 1 species